UGAUUAGAUACCCGUGUAGUCCCAGCCGUAAACGAUGCUCGCUAGGUGUCAGGCAUGGCGCGACCGUGUCUGGUGCCGCAGGGAAGCCGUGAAGCGAGCCACCUGGGAAGUACGGCCGCAAGGCUGAAACUUAAAGGAAUUGGCGGGGGAGCACAACAACGGGUGGAGCCUGCGGUUUAAUUGGACUCAACGCCGGACAACUCACCGGGGACGACAGCAAUAUGUAGGCCAGGCUGAAGACCUUGCCUGAAUCGCUGAGAGGAGGUGCAUGGCA
rnacentral:rRNA from 1 species